rnacentral:rRNA from 1 species
UGGGGAAUAUUGCACAAUGGGCGAAAGCCUGAUGCAGCAACGCCGCGUGAGCGAUGAAGGCCUUCGGGUCGUAAAGCUCUGUCCUCAAGGAAGAUAAUGACGGUACUUGAGGAGGAAGCCCCGGCUAACUACGUGCCAGCAGCCGCGGUAAUACGUAGGGGGCUAGCGUUAUCCGGAAUUACUGGGCGUAAAGGGUGCGUAGGUGGUUUCUUAAGUCAGAGGUGAAAGGCUACGGCUCAACCGUAGUAAGCCUUUGAAACUGGGGAACUUGAGUGCAGGAGAGGAGAGUGGAAUUCCUAGUGUAGCGCUGAAAUGCGUAGAUAUUAGGAGGAACACCAGUUGCGAAGGCGGCUCUCUGGACUGUAACUGACACUGAGGCACGAAAGCGUGGGGAGCAAACAGG